UAAUAAGUGUUUUAUGGCACUUUUUAAAUCCAUAUCCACCUUGUGUGCAAUGUCAGUCGGUUUUCUUUUUCGUCAAGAAAAAAGGAUCGACCUAACAUCAACUUAUUCUAAUUGAACUUUUGUCUGAAAACUAUUAUGAAUAAACUAAUUCAAAAUA
rnacentral:misc_RNA from 1 species